GAUGAACGCUGGCGGCGUGCCUAAUACAUGCAAGUCGAGCGAACAGACGAGGAGCUUGCUCCUCUGACGUUAGCGGCGGACGGGUGAGUAACACGUGGAUAACCUACCUAUAAGACUGGGAUAACUUCGGGAAACCGGAGCUAAUACCGGAUAAUAUAUUGAACCGCAUGGUUCAAUAGUGAAAGACGGUUUUGCUGUCACUUAUAGAUGGAUCCGCGCCGCAUUAGCUAGUUGGUAAGGUAACGGCUUACCAAGGCAACGAUGCGUAGCCGACCUGAUAGGGGGAUGGGACAAAGAGAAAAGGAAAAAGGGACAGAAAACCAAGGGGGGGAAGGAGAGGGAAAACUGCGGAAAGGGGGGAAAGCGUAAAGGAGAAAAGCAGGGGGGGUGAAGAAGGGUUGCGAAUGGAAAAACGUUGUUAUUAGGGAAAAAAAAAAGUGAAAGAAAAGAAGAAGGUUUGAAGGGAACCAAAAAAAAAAGCCACGGCAAACUAGGG
rnacentral:rRNA from 1 species